rnacentral:lncRNA from 1 species
GUUGAUCGUAAUUGUUCGUAUUAGUUGACUGUUAGUAGUUCAAGUUGACUUUAGUACGAGCUUGUAAAAGUAUGAAUGGACUUGCUUCCCUGGAAAGAAAACUGAGUUUGUGUUCUACAGUACAAAAAUCAGACAAAUGUUUACUACUACAGGGAUCAAUGGUGAGGUCUGACUGACCUGUCCAUAGUAAAUGUAAAUGACUCCCACCUUCACCCCAAGUCCAUGAUGUCUAAGUUUGGAAUAAAAUGACAGGUGUUAGGGUCUAGCAAAGUGAUAUGCAUAUGUGUCGCCUAUGAGAUUGACCUUGUAUGUCAUUCAAUCUUUUUUGAAAUGACAAACAGGAAUGAAUAUGGUUUAGGCGUUGGUAACUCAAUCUUUUACAAGUUCUCAAAACACACACAAGAGGGUGUGGGGUGACCCUAGGGACUACCCCUAUUUUUCAUUUGAUUUUUUAUAUUGUCCCAUACAUGAAUAUAUAUGGUUUAUGAGUGGGGAUCUCGACCGUUAUCAAGUUUUCAAACAGGAGGGGGUGGGGGACCCCAGUGACUUCCGUUAUAUUUCAUUUGAUAUGUUAUAUUGUCCAAUACAUGAAUAUAUAUGGUUGAGGGGUGGGGAUCUCAUCUGUUUCUAAUUUAUCAAACAGGAGUGGGUAGGGUGACCCUAAGGACUCUCCCUAUAUUUCAUUUGAUUAGUUCUCAUACAUGAAUAUAUAUGGUUUAAUUUAAAGGUGGGGAUCUGGACUGUUUCCAAUUUCUCAAUCAGGAGGGGUGGGGUGACUGCAGGGACUCCCCCUAUAUUUCAUUUAAUUUAGAGUUGGGGAUCCCAACUGUUUCCAAGUUCUUAAACAUGAGGGGUAGGGUGACCACAGGGACUUCCCCUAUAUUUCAUUUGAUUUGUUAUAUAGUCUUAUACAUGAGUAUAUAUGGUUAAGGGGUGAUGAUCUCUACUUUUUCCAAGUUCUUAAACAGGAAGGUGUACAGUGACCAUUGGGACCCCCUUAUAAGAUAUGUAAUAUUGUCCCAUACAUAAAUAUAUAUUAUUUAAGAUCAUUGUGGAUCUCGACCGUUAUAAAUUCUCAAACAGAAAGGGGUAGAGUGGCCCCACGAACUCCACCUAUAUUUCAUAUAAUUUGUUAUAUUGUCCCAUACAUGAAUAUAUAUGGUUUAGGGGUGGGGAUCUUGACCGUUACCAAGUUCUCAAACAGGAGGGGUGGAGUGACCCCCAGGGAAUCCCCCUAUAUUUCAUUUGAUUAGUUAUAUUGUCCCAUACAUGAAUAAAUAUGGUUUAGGGUUGAGGAUCUCGAAUGUUUCCAAGUUCUCAAACAGGAGGGUUUACAGUGACCAUAGGGACCCCUUAUUAUUCCUUUGAUUUGUAAUAUUGUCCCAUACAUCAUUGUACAUGAAUAUAUAUGGUUUAAGAUGGGGAUCUCAACCGUUUUCAAAUUCUCAAACCGGAAGGGGAAGAGUGGCCCCACGAACUCCACCUAUAUUUCAUAUGAUUUGGUUAUAUUGUCCCAUACAUGAAUAUAUAUGGUUUAGGGGUGGGGAUCUCGACCGUUUCCAAGUUCUCAAAUAUGAGGGGUGUGGUGAUCCCCGGGGACUCCCCUACAUAUUUCAUUUGAUUUGUUAUAUUGUCCCCUACAUGAAGAUAUAUGGUUAAGGGGUGGGGAUCUCGACCGUUACCAAGUUCUCAAACAGGAGGGGUGGGGUAACCCCCAGGGACUCCCCCUAUAUUUCAUUUGAUUAUAUAUAUAUUGUCCUAUACAUGAAUAAAUAUGGUUUAGGGGUGGGGAUCUCAACUGUUUCCAAGUUCUAAAAUAUGAGGGGGUGGGGUGACCCUAGGGUCUUCCUCUAUUUUGUAUUUGAUUAGUUAUUUAGUCUCAUACAUGAAUGUAUAUGGUUGAGGGGUGGGGAUCUCAUCUGUUUCAAAGUUAUCAAACAGGAGGAGGUAGAGUGGCCCAAUGGACUCCACCUAUAUAUUAAAUGAUUUGGUUACAUUCAGGUAUCAUAUAAUAUAGUUGCACUAUUUGUGCCUGUCCCAUGUCCGGAACCUGUUAGUGGUUGUCGUUUUUUUUUGUGUUACAUAUUUGUUUUUUGUUAAUUUUUUUAUAUAAAUAGGGCAGUUAGUUUUCUCGUUUGACUUGUUUUACAUUGUCUUAUCGGGGCCUUUUAUAGCUGACUAUGCGGUAUGGGCUUUGCUCAUUGUUGAAGGGUGUACGAUGACCUAUUGUUGUUAAUGUCUGUGUCAUUUUGGUCUCUUAUAGAUAGUUGUCUCAUUGGCAAUCAUACCAGAUUUUUUUUUUUUUAUAUAUAAGACGCUUCCAGCUAUUUUAACUGACCUAUCAAAAUUGAGAAGAAAAAA